GACGAACGCUGGCGGCGUGCUUAACACAUGCAAGUCGAACGGAAAGGCCCUGCUUGCAGGGUACUCGAGUGGCGAACGGGUGAGUAACACGUGGGUGAUCUGCCCUGCACUUCGGGAUAAGCCUGGGAAACUGGGUCUAAUACCGGAUAGGAGCCAUUUUUAGUGUGAUGGUUGGAAAGUUUUUUCGGUGUAGGAUGAGCUCGCGGCCUAUCAGCUUGUUGGUGGGGUAAUGGCCUACCAAGGCGGCGACGGGUAGCCGGCCUGAGAGGGUGGACGGCCACAUUGGGACUGGGAUACGGCCCAGACUCCUACGGGAGGCAGCGGUGGGGAAUAUUGCACAAUGGGCGCAAGCCUGAUGCAGCGACGCCGCGUGGGGGAUGACGGCCUUCGGGUUGUAAACUCCUUUCGCUAGGGACGAAGCUUUUUGUGACGGUACCUAGAUAAGAAGCACCGGCUAACUACGUG
rnacentral:rRNA from 1 species